UAGGGAAUCUUCCGCAAUGGACGCAAGUCUGACGGAGCAACGCCGCGUGAGUGAAGAAGGAUUUCGGUUCGUAAAACUCUGUUGUUAGAGAAGAACAGCACAUAGAGUAACUGUUAUGCGUGUGACGGUAUCUAACCAGAAAGCCACGGCUAACUACGUGCCAGCAGCCGCGGUAAUACGUAGGUGGCAAGCGUUGUCCGGAUUUAUUGGGCGUAAAGCGAGCGCAGGCGGUCAAUUAAGUCUGAUGUGAAAGCCCCCGGCUCAACCGGGGAGGGUCAUUGGAAACUGGUUGACUUGAGUGCAGAAGAGGAGAGUGGAAUUCCAUGUGUAGCGGUGAAAUGCGUAGAUAUAUGGAGGAACACCAGUGGCGAAGGCGACUCUCUGGUCUGUAACUGACGCUGAGGUUCGAAAGCGUGGGUAGCAAACAGG
rnacentral:rRNA from 1 species